rnacentral:lncRNA from 1 species
AGACUCGGGGUGCUGGCAGCGGCAGCCCACGCCUCCCAGGGAUUGCAGGCCUGGGCGCCGGGGUUGGACCAGUCUCCCGGGCAUGGCACGCCCUGGUUAUUCUGUACCCGUGAUUUGUGGCGGGGCAAGACGUUAAGUUGGGUGACACCGAGGUGAGCCACGGUCCUCGGCACCAGAUGAGGAACCACUGUCUCAAUAAGUGACACCAGUGAUGCUGUUAAACAAGGACAAUCCGGUUCAUGGAUUGUGACAACGCACGCUGACAUCAAGCAGACCCUGCCGUCAGGUACAGAGGGCACCACAGUGACCAGGAACUGCUGUCCUUUCAUACCAGGUUUUAGGAGGCUUUACCAGAAGGAAUGGAAAAUGCUGGUGGGCAGUAAGAUUGAAACAGCAUCUGAGGACUGGUUCUGCACAAAACCUUAAAUUCUUCAAGGACUUUGACAUUUGUUUAUUCUUGUAACAAAUUAAAACCUAUCCUGUGUGUUGGUUAGAGAUCUUCAAACUGUAAAUACCUUGAGGCAGGAGUGAGGUUUUUAUCUUUUAAAGGACAGGCCCCUACUCUCCUACGUAAUGAGUUUCUAAAAAUGGAUGUGAGCACCAAUCAAUAUUUCUCUGGUUGUUAAAGUCAAGAAUAAAAUGGUAUUUUUAAGCUCGCAACUGUGUAGGAUGAAUUCUGUACACUUUUAUUUCCCUCUGUUCUCCUUUCCUAUUUGAAAGUUUAUUAGUUUGUGGACUUGGGAUCGGAUUAUUCAUGCAUUAUUUUUUGAUGUUGUAUGUCUCUUGGUUCUUGGGUAUUUUUGACACAUAUUCUGUCUUGUAACCAUAGUUAAACAAUUGUUUUAGACCAACUCUCUGUGUGUAAUUGGCUUCAACACUCACUGCUAGUCCUUUGACGCUCUGUUUUUUUCCAUUCUUGAGUAAUUUUAAGUCAUCACUUGGGCAGUUGAAAUAUAUUUUAAAGUGAUUUAAAGAAUAUGUGAGUGGCAGACAUUCUGAACUCUUUUGGUUGUCUGUCCUCAAAAACUAAAACUUAUUUGUGAGUAAAAUUUUCAUCUAAGUGUUUUCCAUAUAAAAACUCUGUCAGCUACUGCUCCAUUGUAGUAGACACAAAAAAGUCAGCACAAUUUUCAUCCCUCCCUCCCUCCCUUCUCUUCCCCUUCCCCUUCUUGCCCUCCUUCCUUCCUUCCUUCUUUCCUUCCUUCCUUCCUUCCUUCCUUCCUUCCUUCCUUCCUUCCUUUUUCUUUUGUUUCUGAAUGUACAAAGAAAACACUUAAAAAUUUGCUUGUAAUUUAAAAACUUGUCAGGAUAUUUCUGGAUUUGAGUGUUUCUUGGUUACUUUUACCUGGAACCUGGUGAACUGAGUCCAUUCCUCUGUUUGCCCUUUCUGUACUUUUUUGGAAAGUUUUCUUUAAUUAUAUCUUCAAUUAUUGUUUCUCUUUUGAUUGUUCUAGAUUCUUCUUCAGAAACAUAACUCUUAGGCUCAAUCUCUAUUCCUGGUCUUCCAUAGCUAUCGUCUUCUUUUUAAAGUACUGUAUUUUAUUGAAUCUAAGCUAGUAUUUGUUGUAAGAAGCACUAUUAUUAUAUGUACAACUAAGGAAG